GGAGAAUAUUAAAUCACUUUAUCAUAAAAAUUUAUUCAGUUUUGCACAACCAAAUAUAAACCAACAAGCUCAGAAAGACAAUCCCAAGGAAUAACACGAGACAAUUUAGACAUCUCUUCUAGGACCAGAUCUAAAAGAAAAACUAUACCAACCAAAACCUACUGGAAAGAGCCGCUUAUAUUAAAACAUACAUCUAGUUCUAUGGAUCUCAUAAAAUUUCAGUCAAUCAAGAAUUCCGGUAGUUUCUUCAAAAAACCUAAUGGCCAAAAUGCACCUAGCAAAUCUAUGUAACUGACCACCUUUCAAUAUCUUUCCCCAAACCGAAAGAACAAUGAUCCAGUACCAGUAUUAUGAUCAACAGCAUACUCUGCACGCACCAAACCCAGCUUGACACCAACACCAUAUGAUGAACCAUGACCCAUUCUCCUGUAGACCUCUGUUGGGUUCCCCUUGACAUCCUUAGAAGUUCCCAGAUCAUUUCCAUGCUCUGCAAAUGCAUACAAGUGCGUUUUUCCCACAGGUAUCCGUAUUUCAGCUCCAAGCUCAAUGAUGUUUCUAGCUGCUCCCAAUUCACCCAUAUUGUAGCCUCUCACAGAAUAAGGUCCCCCAAGGGUAAAAGCAUCAUAACUUGGAAGAUCUCCUACACAACCGCCAUAAUGACCAUGCAGGACUAGUACGGGUGGUGGUGAUUUACCAGCACCUUCCUCCACUUGCUUCAACUGUACAAAUCGUGUGAUGGUUAGUUGGUGACGGUUAAAGAAAGGAAACUUGCUGCCAAUUCCAAGGCCUUGGUCCACCUGAAACACAUUCCUCUCACCAACUAUAGCUCCAUUUAUGAAUUUGGUGUUGUCACGUGUGACAUUUGCUUGUAGAAAUGCCAUUCGGUCAAUGCCGGUACCACUGAGGGUUGUUGGAGGCCCAUCUGCACUAAUUCCACCACUUGGCAACACUCUUUGGCCAUGAGCAGAGAUAUGACUGCUUUCAUCACGUGUUGUUAUCUCUUCCAUCACAAUUCCAUAAGUGAAUUUACUCUGACGGGUGAAAUUCUCUGUAAUGUUAGCUUUGAAGCCAGCACGAUCAACCCAGAUAGGAGGGACUUCAUCCACUUCCGGCCCACCAGUGAAGACUGGACUUAGUUUCCUGCUGUUAAAGCAGCUUGCACGGAGAGUACGGUUGCGUGGAUUAUAUACACCAUCCAAAUAUGGAUGAACAUACUCAAGCUUAAAAGCAAGAUCAUCCUGAGGGAAGAAGAAAUUGCUGGUGGUUAUUGAACCAAGAAUGGAUCGAUUAAGCCCUUUGAUAUUCCGAUGUUCAAAAGAAACAGUUCCACCCGGCUGGAAUGAAGCCAAUGUGGGACGCCCUCCACGUCCAGGAACAAUACUCCACUCAGUGCUAACUUCAGCUGAUUUUGGCUCUAGUUCUUUAAGUUUAAUCUCAACAAUUAUUCCUCCCUCAUUCUUCUCAUCAGGCCUUGGAUUCACCUCAAUAUUCGAAAAUAAGGCCAAUGAGUUUAUGUUCCUGAGAGCUUGUUUCCCAGCUUCAAUGUUAAAAACUUUACCUUUUCGAAGCUGUUUGGGCAAUUCUCUCUUGACAACAGAAAGCUGUGUGUUCCCUUCGACAACAUUCCCAAGCUUAUCUAGGAACUGAAUGACCAACUGGGUAAUAUCCCCUUCCACCACUUCACAGACCACCUCCUUGGUAUUCAAAUUCCCAAAAUUCACAACCUGAGCACACGCAUAACCUUCAUCAUGGUACCAUUUCUGCACUCUAUCCCUAAUCUUCUGCAGCAACCUUGCGCUAACCUUCCCCUGGUCUCUCAGCAUCUGAAGCACCUCCGUCUGCACCGCCAUUGGUAACAAACAAGGCCUCGCCUUCUCUAUCCUCCUCUUGUAAUCCUUCUCCUGACUCCUGUAAUACUCCAGCUUCUCUUUGUCGGUCAUAUCUGGAUCCAUUUCAAUGGGUUUCGAUUGCGUCAUUAAUCCUACAUUGAUGCACCUAAACUUAUCAGCUGAUUGCCAGGUGCUUUCUGCAAAUGAUAUAGUUAUGCCUAGGGUUCCGUCUGGAUUAGUUUUUCCUUCAAUGUCUACUUUCUCAAACAUUCCGCAAGUCGCUAGCGUUUCGAGUUCCUUCUGGAGCUGUGCUUUGGUGUAAAUUCCACCAGGUCGUAGAGAGACCAUCUCAAAGAAGGAGUCUUCAGUGCCCACGGUAGCCCAUCGCCGCCGAUCGAAGAAGAGGAUUUCUGAAAUUUUAUACUUCUUGAAGCCACUCAGUUUAUUUAGCUGAACAACAAUGUCGGCCGGAAGACCAUGUGAAUCCCACUCCUGUGACUGCGACUCGUCCGCAAUUGCCGGCGCCAGAGAAAACAGUCUCUUCCAGAACCCUCCUCCCUCACCAAAACCAUCUCCUCGUCCACCUCCACCUCCACCGCCACCUCCGAACCAAUCGCCGCCAUUAUCACCGCCGAAGUUGCGAGGGCCGUCGUUAAUAAUUGGGGUGAGUCGGAGGAGGAGAGUGGCGACGGAAGCGCCAGCGCCAGCAAGGGUUAGAGGCUUUGACAAGGAUUUAAGGAUGGAAUUGUGUGAAUUGGAAUUACGGGGUGUAGGGUUUUGAAAGGAUGAAGGUAAGGAAGAAGAGGAGGAAAGAUCGCAUUUGAAGGAGAAAGCACGUGAGGGGGCGGUAGCACUAGCACAUGACUUGCGGCGGGGGGAUAAGGACGAAGAGGAGGAGAGUGGAGCGUUGGCUAUGAGGUUGGUGGGUGCUGCCAAAGAGUACAUGGCUCUAUGGAGGGAUAAGGAGGAGGAAGGAUAAAUGUAGACAAUGAGAAAUGGGGUUUAGCAGUCGACUGGUAAGGAGAAGAGUAGUUGGGUUUGGGGCAACUGAGAUUUAUGGACGCACCCAGGUUGAGCCUCGGUUGAACCCUUGGGUUGGGUUUGUCUGCUCCCGCGUAUGAGCCUUGGACAGAGGCGAGAUUAUCAAUGUUGUAAUUAGGUCUAGAAUCAAGUUAUUUACUCGAUCGACCGAAUUUUAAUAAAUGAAUUUGUAUAAUUUAUAAUUGAAUUUGAAUUACCUGUAGUCAAUAAAUAAUACACGUGCAGAAUCAUAUAUAUCUCUCUCUAAUAGUUUAGAGAGAGAAUUUUCUCUCGAAUGGGCUUAUCUUUAGGACCUCGGUCUCGUUGUCUGCCGCGAUCUUCGUCGGCUGUUCUCUGCCCUUACGGGCGGGGAACAACUCUUCUUUCCCCUGCCCGGAUGUGGGUCGCCCUCAGUUUCUAUGGAUGGAUUGUAUAUACUCUUUUGUGUUUUCUAUUUGUUGCAUGCACAUAUAAUUGAUAAGUAGAGGGUCUUUUGAGAAAUCUGCGAUGUUUAUGGAUAUCUUGUGCAGCGGUGGUGGGUCUGUCCUCUAGGUAGUGAUUUCAUUCGCUAAGUUUAGGCUCUGUGUUAGGAGGUUCAUUUUAGUGGGUAUGGCAUCUCUGGGGACUCUCUGUCUUGCUACUGGUUAGUAUCUUGUCCUUGAUAGCUGAUGCUAAAGAGCUCUACCAUACCGCUCCUAACAUGACUGAGAUUGGUCCCUGUUGAGGCAAAAGAGAUGGCCUAUGCCCUCGUUGAUGUUGGAGAUCUAAUCUGUAGCCUCGCCUGAGCAUCAGUGUGCCUUUUAUCUAUUGGUGCGAUGAUUUCUCUAGUUUAGAUUCUAUGGAUCCCAUCAUUAAAUUGUCUGCUACACUUGCGAAGAAGGUGAUGUCUAUCUGCUAUGCUUGUGAAGAUAGUGACAGUUAGGGCUCCAAAGCUUUGCGAUGAAGAUGAGACCCGGCUUGUUUCUCAUGGGUCGAUUAUUUUGAAUUUGGGAGCUCCAUUUUUAAGCGAUGGGUAAAGUUUCUUUUGCUUCUUGGGUCUCUCUGUAAUGAGCCUGGCUGGGCUUUAAUCAGCUUUACAUGUAUUGGUUUUUAUUAUUUUAUCCAUUAAUGAAUCAUAUCCUAACUUUUGAAAUAAAA
rnacentral:misc_RNA from 1 species